GACGAACGCUGGCGGCGUGCUUAACACAUGCAAGUCGAACGCUGAAGCUCAGCUUUUGUUGGGUGGAUGAGUGGCGAACGGGUGAGUAACACGUGAGUAACCUGCCCCCUUCUUUGGGAUAACGCCCGGAAACGGGUGCUAAUACUGGAUAUUCACUGGUCUUCGCAUGGGGGUUGGUGGAAAGGGUUUUUCUGGUGGGGGAUGGGCUCGCGGCCUAUCAGCUUGUUGGUGGGGUGAUGGCCUACCAAGGCUUUGACGGGUAGCCGGCCUGAGAGGGUGACCGGUCACAUUGGGACUGAGAUACGGCCCAGACUCCUACGGGAGGCAGCAGUGGGGAAUAUUGCACAAUGGGCGAAAGCCUGAUGCAGCGACGCCGCGUGAGGGAUGGAGGCCUUCGGGUUGUGAACCUCUUUCGCUAAUGGUCAAGCCGCAACAAUGGUUGUGGUGAGGGUAGUGGAUAAAGAAGCGCCGGCUAACUACGUG
rnacentral:rRNA from 1 species